rnacentral:rRNA from 1 species
UAGGGAAUCCCUCGUCAAUGGACGGAAGUCUGACCGAGCAACGCCGCGUGAGUGAAGAAGGUUUUCGGAUCGUAAAGCUCUGUUGUAAGAGAAGAACGAGUGUGAGAGUGGAAAGUUCACACUGUGACGGUAUCUUACCAGAAAGGGACGGCUAACUACGUGCCAGCAGCCGCGGUAAUACGUAGGUCCCGAGCGUUGUCCGGAUUUAUUGGGCGUAAAGCGAGCGCAGGCGGUUAGAUAAGUCUGAAGUUAAAGGCUGUGGCUUAACCAUAGUACGCUUUGGAAACUGUUUAACUUGAGUGCAAGAGGGGAGAGUGGAAUUCCAUGUGUAGCGGUGAAAUGCGUAGAUAUAUGGAGGAACACCGGUGGCGAAAGCGGCUCUCUGGCUUGUAACUGACGCUGAGGCUCGAAAGCGUGGGGAGCAAACAGGAUUAGAUACCCUGGUAGUCCACGCCGUAAACGAUGAGUGCUAGGUGUUAGACCCUUUCCGGGGUUUAGUGCCGCAGCUAACGCACUAAGCACUCCGCCUGGGGAGUACGACCGCAAGGUUG